rnacentral:tRNA from 2 species
AAGGCUUUAGCUUAAUUAAAGUGUCUGUUUUGCAUACAGGAGAUGUGGGUUAAGAGCCUGCAAGUCUUA